GGAGUUCCCGUCGUGGCGCAGUGGUUAACGAAUCCGACUAGGAACCAUGAGGUUGCAGGUUCUGUCCCUGCCCUUGCUCAGUGGGUUAACCAUCUGGCGUUGCCGUGAGCUGUGGUGUAGGUUGCAGACGCGGCUCAGAUCCUGCGUUGCUGUGGCUCUGGCGUAGGCUGGUGGCUACAGCUCCGAUUCGACCUCCAUAUGCCGCGGGAGCGGCCCAAAGAAAUAGCAAAAAGACAAAAAAAAAAAAAAAGAAAAAUAUAAGAGAGUGUUAACAUCCCACUAGAUGAACUUAACCAGUGUGAGAUUAAAAAAAAUCAGAAAUUCUGCCAAGGAGUUCCCUUCGUGGCUCAGCAGUUAACGAACCUGACUAGGAUCCAUGAGGAUGUGGGUUCGAUCACUGGCCUGGCUCAGUGGGUUAAAGAUCUGGGUUGCUGUGAGCUACGGUGUAGGUUUCAGACUCAACUUGGAUCCCAGGUUGCUGUGCUGUGGUGUAGGCCAUCAGCUUUAGCUCUGAUUCGACCCCUAGCCUGGAAACUUCCAUAUGCUGCAGAUGCAGCCCUGAAAAGCAAAAAAAAGAAAAGAAAUUGCUGCCAAGUAAAUGUCAUGCCUCUCCUCCCCCUGACAGACUGUUCUAAGACCCUUAGCUACAUUGCCUUCAUCAGGUAGCUUAUUAGAUAUGCAGAGACUCAGGCCAAACCACAGACCUAUUGCAUCCAAUCUGUAUUUAAUAGGGUCCCUGGGAGAGUCAUACGUACACUAAAGUCUGAAAAGCAUUGCUCUAAGACGCAGCUGUUCCACAAACAAAACAAACUAAGCACCUAGGCAUCGCAUAGUCAAAUUACUUAAAACCAAGGAUAAAGAGAAAUCUCUAAGGCAGACAGAAAAAAAAAAGACCAAUUACAGUGGAACAAAGAUAAGAGUUUACAGCAGUCUUCUUGUCAGAGACUAUGCCAGUCAGAACACAGUAGAGUGACAUCUUUAAUGUACUAGAAGAACAAAAUGGUCAAAAAUAUCUUUCAAAAAUGAAACAUAGGAGUUCCUGCUGUGGUGCAGCAGAAAUGAAUCCGACCAGGAGCCAUGAAGUUGCGGGUUCGAUCCCUGGCCUCACUCAGUGGGUUAAGGAUCUGGCAUUGCCGUGAGCUGUGGUGUAGGUUGUGGCUCAGAUCCUGCAUCGCCGUGGCUGUGGCCAGCAGCUAUAGCUCGGAUUCAGCCCCUAGCCUGGGAACCUCCAGAUGCAGUGGGUGGGUAUGGCCCUUAAAAGCAACAACAACAAAACAUAAAGACUGUUUCCAACAAAAACUGAGAGAAUGAAUUAUAAAGCAACCCUGCACUCCUAGAAAUGUUAAAGAAAUUUCUUCCAACAGAAACAAUGUUAUAUCAGAAACUUGGAUCUGCCUAGAGAAGUAGAGUGCUAGAAAUGGCAAAAAUAAAGGUAAAAAGAAUUACAUUUUAUUUUCUCUAGAAAGAUUGACAAUUUACUACAGCAAAAAUAGUAUCACUAUAGUACAUGUAUAUAGUACAUGUAAAAUAAAACACAGCACAAUAGUAGCAUAAAAAAUGGGAGGCAGGAAUUGGGAGUGGACUGUUGGAAGACAUAGUAUUCUUUGAAGGCAGACUCAUGAACUAAAGAUCAACCAACUUGACCUGAGUGAGAUUUGUAGGAUACUCCGCCCCAAAAGAGAAUACAAAAUAUACUUUUGAGCCACAGCGUAAAUAAACUAGUUGUUCAUAACACAAAGCUAUCCUAAAAAAAAAAA
rnacentral:lncRNA from 1 species